AACACCUUCCACCAGCUGGCUGCAACAAAUCCAUGUGCACAUCGGAUUGCAAUGAAGAAGCUCAGACUUCACCAGGUUUUAUUUCAUCUUGUUAUUAUU